AACGAACGCUGGCGGCAUGCCUAACACAUGCAAGUCGAACGAGACCUGCGGGUCUAGUGGCGCACGGGUGCGUAACGCGUGGGAACCUGCCCUUAGGUUCGGAAUAACUCCCCGAAAGGGGUGCUAAUACCGGAUAAUGUCUUCGGACCAAAGAUUUAUCGCCUUUGGAUGGGCCCGCGUUGGAUUAGCUAGUUGGUAGGGUAAAAGGCUACCAAGGCGACGAUCCAUAGCUGGUCUGAGAGGAUGAUCAGCCACACUGGGACUGAGACACGGCCCAGACUCCUACGGGAGGCAGCAGUGGGGAAUAUUGGAAAAUGGGCGAAAGCCUGAUCCAGCAAUGCCGCGUGAGUGAUGAAGGCCUUAGGGUUGUAAAGCUCUUUUACCCGGGAUGAUAAUGACAGUACCGGGAGAAUAAGCUCCGGCUAACUCCGUG
rnacentral:rRNA from 1 species